rnacentral:rRNA from 1 species
AUUGAACGCUGGCGGCAUGCCUUACACAUGCAAGUCGAACGGUAACAGGUCUUCCGAUGCUGACGAGUGGCGAACGGGUGAGUAAUACAUCGGAACGUGCCCGAACGUGGGGGAUAACGAGGCGAAAGCUUUGCUAAUACCGCAUACGAUCUACGGAAGAAAGCGGGGGAUCUUCGGCCCUCGCGCGGACCGAGCGGCCGAUGGCAGAUUAGGUCGAUGGUGGGAUAAAGAGUUACCAAGCCGACGGUCUGUAGCUGACCUGAGAGGAUGAUCAGCCACACUGGGACUGAGACACGGCCCAGACUCCUACGGGAGGCAGCAGUGGGGAAUUUUGGACAAUGGGCGAAAGCCUGAUCCAGCCAUGCCGCGUGCAGGAUGAAGGCCUUCGGGUUGUAAACUGCUUUUGUACGGAACGAAAAGCCUCUUUCUAAUAAAGAGGGGUCAUGACGGUACCGGAAGAAUAAGCACCGGCUAACUACGUG